GGACAUCAGUAGUUCAGUGGGAGAGCUCCUGUUUUUCACACAGAACCUCCCAGGUUCAAUGCCUGCCGUCUCCA